CAUGUUUCUAAGAAAAAUGAACAAUUCUACAUCGUUAUAUCUUCUUCUUUUGAUGGACUGGAAACACAGGAAACAUAUGUUGAUUUGGCUUCCAUAUAUAUUUGAUUAUUUGACUCCGUUUUUCUCCAUCCUCUAUCACAUCGACUAGGAUUCAUCCUGAAUCUGAAACAAAAAAGUAAUAGUAAAAUUUUUAAAUGAAUAUCAGAGAAUACAACAAAUACAAAGUAUACACCAAAUUACCGAUAUUAAACACUCUGAAUUAAGGUUUUGUUUGUUACCUUCGUUAAUUAACUGGCAUGCGUUACGUGUAAUUCUAGUUUCACAAUCUCUCUUUCGUUGAAGAGGAAGCAGAACAUGGAAACUUAAUUUUCCAC
rnacentral:lncRNA from 1 species